rnacentral:rRNA from 1 species
GAUGAACGCUGGCGGCGUGCUUAACACAUGCAAGUCGAACGGUGAAGCAGAGCUUGCUCUGUGGAUCAGUGGCGAACGGGUGAGUAAUACGUGAGCAACCUGCCCCUGACUCUGGGAUAAGCACUGGAAACGGCGUCUAAUACUGGAUAUGAGCUGCGACCGCAUGGUCAGCAGUUGGAAAGAUUUUUCGGUCUGGGAUGGGCUCACGGCCUAUCAGCUUGUUGGUGAGGUAAUGGCUCACCAAGGCGUCGACGGGUAGCCGGCCUGAGAGGGUAACCGGCCACACUGGGACUGAGACACGGCCCAGACUCCUACGGGAGGCAGCAGUGGGGAAUAUUGCACAAUGGGCGAAAGCCUGAUGCAGCAACGCCGCGUGAGGGAUGACGGCCUUCGGGUUGUAAACCUCUUUUAGCAGGGAAGAAGCGAAAGUGACGGUACCUGCAGAAAAAGCGCCGGCUAACUACGUG